rnacentral:sRNA from 1 species
UUUUAAUUUUAUUUUUGAAUAACAGGAGGUUCUGGACCGAAGUCCGUAAUCCCUCUAGACCCGAAACCACAUAAUGUAAUAUUAGUUUCGUCUCAAGCGUCACUCGAACUGGCGACCUCUAAGGUUCGCCUAAAAUCUUUACCAAUUGAGCUAACGACACUUAAUUUAUUUUUUUAAUAAUCACAACUCCUUUGCAUAUAUAUU